AUGUUUAUUUCUCUUACUUUUUAAAAAAUGAUUUCUGUUUCCAAGGCAUUUUAGUUUUUUGAUUUUCCUUCGAGAUUAGAGGCAGUAAUCUAAUUGAUUCAUGGGAGUUUGAAAUCUUUCAUGAUUAUAAACAAGAAGAGAAAAAAACGUUUCUUGUGGGGUUAGAGAUGAAACAGCUCAAAUUUGAGCACAAGAGCUCAGAAAAUUUCUUAUCUCUGUUUGUGCUGCAGGGUAAGGCAAUAAAUAGCAUAUCUGUUUGAGCCCAUUUUUGUUAAGUGGUGCUACGCUUUAAAAUCCCAUUUAGAAAGACAGUUCCUUUAAGCCAUUGGUGUAUAAGACAUUUUCAUCUGUAAUGCGUAAGGUGC